GCCUGGGUGGCUCAGUUGGUUGAGCGUCAGACUCUUGAUUGCGGCUCAGGUCAUGAUCCCAGGGUUGUGGGAUCGAGCCCCACAUCCGGGCU
rfam:Felis catus isolate Cinnamon breed Abyssinian chromosome D1, whole genome shotgun sequence.